rnacentral:piRNA from 1 species
UAAAUCAUGACAGGUGCAUCGUCUGUUGU